CCUACGGGUGGCAGCAGUGAGGAAUAUUGGUCAAUGGGCGCGAGCCUGAACCAGCCAAGUCGCGUGAGGGAUGACGGUCCUAUGGAUUGUAAACUUCUUUUGUCGGGGAGCAAAAGACGCCACGCGUGGCGUUCCGAGAGUACCCGAAGAAAAAGCAUCGGCUAAUUCCGUGCCAGCAGCCGCGGUAAUACGGAGGAUGCGAGCGUUAUCCGGAUUUAUUGGGUUUAAAGGGUGCGCAGGCGGAAGAUCAAGUCAGCGGUAAAAUUGAGGGGCUCAACCUCGUCGAGCCGUUGAAACUGGUUGUCUUGAGUGAGUGAGAAGUAUGCGGAAUGCGUGGUGUAGCGGUGAAAUGCAUAGAUAUCACGCAGAACUCCGAUUGCGAAGGCAGCAUACCGGCGCUCAACUGACGCUCAUGCACGAAAGUGUGGGUAUCGAACAGGAUUAGAUACCCCAGUAGUC
rnacentral:rRNA from 1 species